AUUGAACGCUGGCGGCAUGCCUUACACAUGCAAGUCGAACGGCAGCACGGGAGCAAUCCUGGUGGCGAGUGGCGAACGGGUGAGUAAUAUAUCGGAACGUGCCCGGUCGUGGGGGAUAACGUAGCGAAAGCUACGCUAAUACCGCAUACGAUCUACGGAUGAAAGCGGGGGGAUCGCAAGACCUCGCGCGAUUGGAGCGGCCGAUAUCAGAUUAGGUAGUUGGUGAGGUAAAGGCUCACCAAGCCGACGAUCUGUAGCUGGUCUGAGAGGACGACCAGCCACACUGGGACUGAGACACGGCCCAGACUCCUACGGGAGCAGCAGUGGGGAAUUUUGGACAAUGGGCGCAAGCCUGAUCCAGCAAUGCCGCGUGCAGGAUGAAGGCC
rnacentral:rRNA from 1 species